rnacentral:rRNA from 1 species
UACGUAGGGUGCGAGGCGUUGUCCGGAAUUAUUGGGCGUAAAAGAGCUCGUAGGCGGUGUGUCACGUCGGCCGUGAAAACCUGCAGCCUUAACUGUGGGCGUUGACGGUCGAUACGGGCAUCACUGGAGUUCGGGACAGGGGAGACUGGAAUUCCUGGUGAUAGCGGUGAAAUGCGCAGAUAUACAGGAGGAACACCGGUGGCGAAGGCGGGUCUCUGGGCCGAAUACGUGACGCUGGA